ACUGCAGGGUUUUUAUGCUAUGGAUUUUCAUCUCUUGUCGACCUCUCAUAAACUAAGCAGGGUCAAGCACUGGUCAGUACUUGGCUGGGGGAUCUCAAGGGAAAACAAAAUCCACAGUA
rnacentral:rRNA from 1 species